UCUCACGAUCCCUGUCCCAACCCACAGCCCACAGCGAUUGCUCCAUUCCUUACGCCCUCCUCUAAGGAAUCUGAGCUUGUCUUGUUCCACCUAAAGCGUGACCACAUUGAGGUGUUUUGGAGCCAGCAACAAAGGAGCAGCUGCAAGACCACCCCUGAAUCUGGCACUGCAGAAGCCUUGAUGGGACCAUAGAGACAGAUGUCCUGCUCCGGUUGUAUGCAACCCAGACCCACCUCAAAUGUCACUCCCUAUAUCUGUGCUUACGUGUAAAAAAAGUCUGUAUACAUAAAAAUUGCUGUGGCAAAUAGACUAUAAUUAAUACCAA